rnacentral:rRNA from 1 species
GACGAACGCUGGCGGCGUGCCUAAUACAUGCAAGUCGAACGGCAGCACGGGAGCAAUCCUGGUGGCGAGUGGCGAACGGGUGAGUAAAGUAUCGGAACGUGCCCAGUCGUGGGGGAUGACGUAGCGAAAGUUACGCUAAUACCGCAUACGAUCUAUGGAUGAAAGCGGGGGAUCGCAAGACCUCGCGCGAUUGGAGCGGCCGAUAUCAGAUUAGGUAGUUGGUGGGGUAAAGGCUCACCAAGCCGACGAUCUGUAGCUGGUCUGAGAGGACGACCAGCCACACUGGGACUGAGACACGGCCCAGACUCCUACGGGAGGCAGCAGUGGGGAAUUUUGGACAAUGGGCGCAAGCCUGAUCCAGCCAUGCCGCGUGCAGGAUGAAGGCCUUCGGGUUGUAAACUGCUUUUGUACGGAACGAAAAGGUUUGGCCUAAUAAGCUGAGCUCAUGACGGUACCGUAAGAAUAAGCACCGGCUAACUACGUGCCAGCCGCCGCAGUAACAC